rnacentral:rRNA from 1 species
AGAGGGUGCGAGCGUUAAUCGGAAUUACUGGGCGUAAAGGGCGCGUAGGUGGGUAUAUCAGUUGGUUGUGAAAGAUCCGGGGCUUAACCUGGACAGGUCAUCCAAUACUGUAUACCUAGAGUGCAGUAGAGGUAAGCGGAAUUUCCGGUGUAGCGGUGAAAUGCGUAGAUAUCGGAAGGAACAUCAGUGGCGAAGGCGGCUUACUGGACUGAGACUGACACUGAGGCGCGAAAGCGUGGGGAGCAAACAGGAUUAGAUACCCUGGUAGUCCACGCCGUAAACGAUGAGUACUAGCCGUUGGGUCCUGCGGGACUUAGUGGCGCAGCAAACGCGCUAAGUACUCCGCCUGGGGAGUACGGCCGCAAGGCUA